GUCCACGCCGUAAACGAUGGGUACUAGGUGCUUGGGAGCGACCCCGACGUGCCGGCGCUAACGCAUUAAGUACCCGCCUGGGAGGUACGACCGCAAGGUUGAAACUCAAGGAAUUGACGGGCCCGGCACAAGCGGUGGAGCAUGUGGUUUAAUUCGACGCAACGCGAAGAACCUUACCCAGACUUGACAUGUAUGAGAAAGCCUCUGGAAACAGGGCCCCUCUUCGGAGCUCAUGCACAGGUGCUGCAUGGCUGUCGU
rnacentral:rRNA from 1 species